rnacentral:rRNA from 1 species
UACGGAAGGCAGCAGUGGGGAAUAUUGCACAAUGGGCGCAAGCCUGAUGCAGCCAUGCCGCGUGUAUGAAAAAGGCCUUCGGGUUGUAAAGUACUUUCAGUCGUGAGGAAGGUGUUAAGGUUAAUAACCUUAGCAAUUGACGUUAGCGACAGAAGAAGCACCGGCUAACUCCGUGCCAGCAGCCGCGGUAAUACGGAGGGUGCGAGCGUUAAUCGGAAUUACUGGGCGUAAAGGGCACGCAGGCGGUUAAUUAAGUUGGAUGUGAAAUCCCCGGGCUUAACCUGGGAAUGGCAUUCAAGACUGGUUAGCUAGAGUCCUGUAGAGGGGGUAGAAUUCCAUGUGUAGCGGUGAAAUGCGUAGAGAUGUGGAGGAAUACCGGUGGCGAAGGCGGCCCCUGGACAAAGACUGACGCUCAUGUGCGAAAGCGUGGGGAGCAAACAGGGAUUAGAUACC